rnacentral:rRNA from 1 species
GUGGGGAAUCUUGCGCAAUGGGCGAAAGCCUGACGCAGCCAUGCCGCGUGAAUGAUGAAGGUCUUAGGAUUGUAAAAUUCUUUCACCGGGGACGAUAAUGACGGUACCCGGAGAAGAAGCUCCGGCUAACUUCGUGCCAGCAGCCGCGGUAAUACGAAGGGGGCUAGCGUUGCUCGGAAUUACUGGGCGUAAAGGGCGCGUAGGCGGACAGCUUAGUCAGAGGUGAAAGCCCAGGGCUCAACCUUGGAAUUGCCUUUGAUACUGGCUGUCUUGAAUUUGGGAGAGGUGAGUGGAACUCCGAGUGUAGAGGUGAAAUUCGUAGAUAUUCGGAAGAACACCAGUGGCGAAGGCGACUCACUGGCCCAAUACUGACGCUGAGGCGCGAAAGCGUGGGGAGCAAACAGGAUUAGAUACCCGAGUAGUCC